CCUACGGGAGGCAGCAGUAGGGAAUCUUUCACAAUGGGCGAAAGCCUGAUGGAGCAACGCCGCGUGCAGGAUGAAGGCCUUCGGGUUGUAAACUGCUUUUAUAAGCGAGAAAUAUGAUGGUAACUUAUGAAUAAGGAUCGGCUAACUACGUGCCAGCAGCCGCGGUCAUACGUAGGAUCCGAGCAUUAUCCGGAGUGACUGGGUGUAAAGAGUUGCGUAGGUGGCAUAAUAAGUAGCUAGUGAAAUCUGGUGGCUUAACCAUUCAGACUAUUAGCUAAACUGGUAAGCUCGAGACCGUUAGGGGUAACUGGAAUUUCUAGUGUAGGAGUGAAAUGCGUAGAUAUUAGAAGGAACACCAAUAGCGUAGGCAGGUUACUGGGACGGUUCUGACACUAAGGCACGAAAGCGUAGGGAGCAAACGGGAUUAGAUACCCUGGUAGUC
rnacentral:rRNA from 1 species